rnacentral:misc_RNA from 1 species
GAAAUGCGAUAAGUAAUGUGAAUUGCAGAAUUCAGUGAAUCAUCGAAUCUUUGAACGCACAUUGCGCCCGCCAGUAUUCUGGCGGGCAUGCCUGUCCGAGCGUCAUUUCAACCAUCAAGCCCCCGGGCUUGUGUUGGGGACCUGCGGCUGCCCGCAGGCCCUGAAAACCAGUGGCGGGCUCGCUGUCACACCGAGCGUAGUAGCAAUCACCUCGCUCAGGGCGUGCUGCGGGUUCCGGCCGUUAAACAGCCUUACAAAGCCCAAGGUUGACCUCGGAUCAGGUAGGAAGACCCGCUGAACUUAAGC